CCUACGGGAGGCAGCAGUAGGGAAUCUUCCGCAAUGGACGAAAGUCUGACGGAGCAACGCCGCGUGAGUGAUGAAGGCUUUCGGGUCGUAAAACUCUGUUGUUAGGGAAGGAACAAGUACGAGAGUAACUGCUCGUACCUUGACGGUACCUAACCAGAAAGCCACGGCUAACUACGUGCCAGCAGCCGCGGUAAUACGUAGGUGGCAAGCGUUAUCCGGAAUUAUUGGGCGUAAAGCGCGCGCAGGCGGUUUCUUAAGUCUGAUGUGAAAGCCCACGGCUCAACCGUGGAGGGUCAUUGGAAACUGGGGAACUUGAGUGCAGAAGAGAAAAGCGGAAUUCCACGUGUAGCGGUGAAAUGCGUAGAGAUGUGGAGGAACACCAGUGGCGAAGGCGGCUUUUUGGUCUGUAACUGACGCUGAGGCGCGAAAGCGUGGGGAGCAAACAGGAUUAGAUACCCUGGUAGUCCACGCCGUAAACGAUGAGUGCUAAGUGUUAGAGGGUUUCCGCCCUUUAGUGCUGCAGCUAACGCAUUAAGCACUCCGCCUGGGGGAGUACGGUCGCAAGAACUGAAACUCAAAGGAAUUGACGGGGGGCCCGCACAAGCGGUGGAGCAUGUGGUUUAAUUUCGAAGCAACGCGAAGAACCUUAC
rnacentral:rRNA from 1 species